UUUGAUCCUGGCUCAGGACGAACGCUGGCGGCGUGCCUAAUACAUGCAAGUAGAACGCUGAAGAGAGGAGCUUGCUCUUCUUGGAUGAGUUGCGAACGGGUGAGUAACGCGUANGUAACCUGCCUUGUAGCGGGGGAUAACUAUUGGAAACGAUAGCUAAUACCGCAUAACAAUGGAUGACACAUGUCAUUUAUUUGAAAGGGGCAAUUGCUCCACUACAAGAUGGACCUGCGUUGUAUUAGCUAGUAGGUGAGGUAAUGGCUCACCUAGGCGACGAUACAUAGCCGACCUGAGAGGGUGAUCGGCCACACUGGGACUGAGACACGGCCCAGACUCCUACGGGAGGCAGCAGUAGGGAAUCUUCGGCAAUGGGGGCAACCCUGACCGAGCAACGCCGCGUGAGUGAAGAAGGUUUUCGGAUCGUAAAGCUCUGUUGUAAGUCAAGAACGGGUGUGAGAGUGGAAAGUUCACACUGUGACGGUAGCUUACCANAAAGGGACGGCUAAUUACGUGCCAGCAGCCGCGGUAAUACGUAGGUCCCGAGCGUUGUCCGGAUUUUAUUGGGCGUAAAGCGAGCGCAGGCGGUUUGAUAAGUCUGAAGUUAAAGGCUGUGGCUCAACCAUAGUUCGCUUUGGAAACUGUCAAACUUGAGUGCAGAAGGGGAGAGUGGAAUUCCAUGUGUAGCGGUGAAAUGCGUAGAUAUAUGGAGGAACACCGGUGGCGAAAGCGGCUCUCUGGUCUGUAACUGACGCUGAGGCUCGAAAGCGUGGGGAGCGAACAGGAUUAGAUACCCUGGUAGUCCACGCCGUAAACGAUGAGUGCUAGGUGUUGGAUCCUUUCCGGGAUUCAGUGCCGCAGCUAACGCAUUAAGCACUCCGCCUGGGGAGUACGACCGCAAGGUUGAAACUCAAAGGAAUUGACGGGGGCCCGCACAAGCGGUGGAGCAUGUGGUUUAAUUCGAAGCAACGCGAAGAACCUUACCAGGUCUUGACAUCCCGAUGCUAUUUCUAGAGAUAGAAAGUUACUUCGGUACAUCGGUGACAGGUGGUGCAUGGUUGUCGUCAGCUCGUGUCGUGAGAUGUUGGGUUAAGUCCCGCAACGAGCGCAACCCCUAUUGUUAGUUGCCAUCAUUCAGUUGGGCACUCUAGCGAGACUGCCGGUAAUAAACCGGAGGAAGGUGGGGAUGACGUCAAAUCAUCAUGCCCCUUAUGACCUGGGCUACACACGUGCUACAAUGGUUGGUACAACGAGUUGCGAGUCGGUGACGGCGAGCUAAUCUCUUAAAGCCAAUCUCAGUUCGGAUUGUAGGCUGCAACUCGCCUACAUGAAGUCGGAAUCGCUAGUAAUCGCGGAUCAGCACGCCGCGGUGAAUACGUUCCCGGGCCUUGUACACACCGCCCGUCACACCACGAGAGUUUGUAACACCCGAAGUCGGUGAGGUAACCUUUUGGAGCCAGCCGCCUAAGGUGGGACAGAUGAUUGGGGUGAAGUCGUAACAAGGUAGCCGUAG
rnacentral:rRNA from 1 species